rnacentral:rRNA from 1 species
UGUAGUCUCAACGAUGAUGCAUACAUGUCAAUUAUGGGUGUUGGGUCCAACAAUUCGCAUUGGUCUCAAACCAAUGACAUCCAUUUCGAAGACCAUGAGUUUGAGGUGGACGAGGAGGGUGAGGGCAUUGUCGACGCGCCGAAAGGAAGAGCGGGCAAUUACAGCACCAACGAUGACAAGUUACUAUGCUAUACUUAUUUGCAAGUGUCAAGGGAUCCAUCCAUUGGAGGUGAUCAAAGUAGAGACGCGUAUUGGGGGCGAAUGAAAGAACACUUUGAUGCUCACAACGUGAGUGGAGUUGACCGCUCCGAGAGAUCACUUCGGUCCCGAUGGUCGACAAUCAACUCAGAUUGUCAAAAGUGGGCGGCCGCACAAAAGGCAGUUGACAAGAUUAACCCAAGUGACACAAAUGAGGAUGAUCGAGUAAGUGGCAUCUCAUAUAUGUUCAUCAUACUUGUUUUUGGUGACUGA